UACGGAGGGUGCAAGCGUUAUCCGGAUUUACUGGGUCUAAAGGGUGCGUAGGCGGAUAGGUAAGUCAGGGGUGAAAUCUUCGAGCUUAACUCGGAAAUUGCCCUUGAUACUAUCUAUCUUGAAUAUUGUGGAGGUAAGCGGAAUAUGUCAUGUAGCGGUGAAAUGCUUAGAUAUGACAUAGAACACCUAUUGCGAAGGCAGCUUACUACGCAUAUAUUGACGCUGAGGCACGAAAGCGUGGGGAGCAAACAGG
rnacentral:rRNA from 1 species